rnacentral:rRNA from 5 species
AAAUUGAAGAGUUUGAUCAUGGCUCAGAUUGAACGCUGGCGGCAGGCCUAACACAUGCAAGUCGAACGGUAGCACAGAGAGCUUGCUCUCGGGUGACGAGUGGCGGACGGGUGAGUAAUGUCUGGGAAACUGCCUGAUGGAGGGGGAUAACUACUGGAAACGGUGGCUAAUACCGCAUAACGUCGCAAGACCAAAGAGGGGGACCUU